rnacentral:rRNA from 1 species
CAGGAUUCCCUUAGUAAUGGCGAAUGAACAGGGAUGAGCUCAACAUGGAAAUCGCGGCUUCUGGCCGUGAAUUGUAAUUUCAAGAUGCGUCGCUAACGAGGGCGUAGGUGUAAGCCUCUUGGAAAAGAGCACCACCGAGGGUGAGAGUCCCGUUUGCCACCUACAGCCCCUCGUGUUCGGCAUGCUAUCUUCGAGUCACGUUCCUCGGGAUUGGAGCGCAAAGUGGGUGGUAAAUUUCAUCUCAGGCUAAAUAUGGGUUCGAAACCGAUAGCAAACAAGUACCAUGAGGGAAAGAUGAAAAGGACUUUGAAAAGAGAGUUAAAAGUGCCUGAACUCGCUGAAAGGAAAGCGGAUGGAGCCACUCCUCCUUGGCGAGAUUGUUGCGUGCAUCAGCGACUGCCUGUCGGACGAGCGCAAGCAGUUCGGCGGGUUUCGAGCUGGCUGCGCGCGAUGCUUCUUGCCUGGCGCGUCACCGACUGCGCGUUGGCGGGGAUACCUCUGGGGACAUGGUAGCGCAGCCUCGGCCGCGUGAAUGUGCCUGGUAGUGCCUGCCCGCGCGCAGUGCGAUCGCUUCAGACUGCGCUGUUCACCUGCUGGCGCGCGCGCAUGCGCCCGCUUUUUGGUGGCACCCCUCUGCGGCUUGUGUGGUGGCGAAAUGGUUCCAUUCGACCCGUCUUGAAACACGGACCAAGGAGUCUAACAUAUGUGCGAGUUCUUGGGUGUCAAACCUACGUGCGCAAUGAAAGUGAGUACUGAGACGUUUGCAUCAGCAGCCGACCGAUCGAUUGGGAGAGGUUUGAGCAUGAGCAUAUCUGUUAGGACCCGAAAGAUGGUGAACUAUGCCUGAGAAGGGCGAAGUCUGGGGAAACUCAGAUGGAGGCUCGUAGCGGUACUGACGUGCAAAUCGUUCGUCAUACUUGGGUAUAGGGGCGAAAGACUAAUCGAACCAUCUAGUAGCUGGUUCCCUCCGAAGUUUCCCUCAGGAUAGCUGGAGUUGAAUAGUUUUAUCAGGUAAAGCGAAUGAUUAGAGGAAUCGGGGGCGCGUUGCCCUCGACCUAUUCUCAAACUUUAAAUGGGUAAGCUCCAGUUGUUACUUCAUUGAACUUCUGGGAUAAAUUAUGACUCUAAGUGGGCCAUUUUUGGUAAGCAGAACUGGCGAUGAGGGAUGAACCUAACGUUGGGAUAAGGUGCUUAACUGGCUCGCUCAUCAGAUACCAUAAAGGGUGUUGGUUCAUUUUAACAGCAGGACGGUGGUCAUGGAAGUCGAAAUCCGCUAAGGAGUGUGUAACAACUCACCUGCCGAAUGGACUAGCCCCGAAAAUGGAUGGCGCUUAAGCGGGUGGCCGAUACCCAACCAUUGACGCAAUUGUGCUGCGGCAAUGAGUAGGAGGGCGUGGGGG